AGUCGAUGCCAAUAUGGAAGGCUUUCAGGUCAAGGAGUAGGAGCUUUGAUUUUGACAUUUACCUUCAAAGCUUGUUUCAGUCUGGUUGAAAAAACUUUGCUGUUGUUGUAUAAAGGUGUCCUCCUCAUAAGGGAUGGCGAUUUCAUAGGCAUCCUCGUUCUUGGGCGCUGAUGAGAGGACAGUACAAGCUAAAAAUACAAGCUGUGAAUGCAUACGUACUUUAUUGUUGAUGUAUUAUGAAAUAUACAGGCAUAGAUAAAGACACUGUCAACGAUCGUUCCUCUGUGGUAAUCAGCUGUGGAAUGUAUUUUUACUCUGCAAGUGGUGGGAACUCUUGGACGUUGGUGCAGAGUCGUUCAAAUUUCCAUCCUCCAUCUCGCAAUUUGUAGCCUACUAGCCAAAAUAAGAACACAUUUUAGCUUGAUUUAUAGCUACACUAGAUCGCUAGCCAGCUAGCAAGUAUGUUAUGAUUUAGGUAACAUAUAUAUUACCAGAGCGACUCAAGUACUAUAAUAAAUAGAGCCUAGUAUGAACUGUUGAGAAUGUAUGUAGCUUUAUUUUUUCUUUCUUAUGGAAGAUCAUCUCUUAAUAAAUUUGCAUGUCAUAAUAAAUGUCGUGCAUAAUCAAAGUCAAGAAUGGACACCGAGUGGUAGACAAUUAUUAGGUCUUUUGGCAGAUGAAAGUUACAGCUUUUGCCAGAUAGCUUGCUGACGCUACGAAGCAGUAGGAAAAUGCAAGAGGUGGCAUAGCCCUAUAAUUAAAAAUGGACACGUUAGCUGGGUAGCUAGCGGACAACAUUGCUUUUCAGUAAGCGAUCCUUCUAUCUAACGUUAUUACACCGAAUAAUUUGUUUACUCAAAACACACGAUUUUUUCCAGCACAGUCAAUGGUGCACGUACCGUUUUCGUCGUAAGGACACAGGCACUUGUUAUGCUCUGUUAAUAAUCUGUCAUUUUGUGCAGUUUAAGCAUUCAACCAUCGGCACAGGUUAGCUUACUAACAAUAACAAUUAUCACGUUCAUUCUGUGUAGACUUCUCCCAACGUAAUUUCCGGUGAUAAUAAAAACCAAGACGUCAUGUGACAAAAACUGCCCCUCCCUCCAUCUCCCCUCCCCCCCCUCCCCCCAAAAGAAGAAACAAAUAUUUAUAUAUACAUAUAAUAAAUAAAUAAAAAUAGUUAGUUUUGUUGAGAACAUCUAAUUGGAAUUAUAUUGUUUAGAUUAAUUGGAAUUCAUACCUAUGAAACAUCUUUUGGACAUAACUUCUCUACAAAAGAUGCUUAGUAUCCUGUUGUAAAAUGAACUCCAGAAUAUCUAGUCUGACAGGUUUCUCUACAGACCUAAUUUCCAGAGUAGGCGAGGUAAGAUAAGAAAAAAAGAAAAGAAUAGGGCGUCGGUCAACAUUUGAUUUAACAAAAUACGAAACAUGUAGUAUCGGGAAAUCUACAUGAAGAGAUUAUCAAAACAAAAUCAACAGAGAUAGACGACAUUAAAAUAUAGUGGGCUAUUGCGACAUCUAUACAUAACUACAUCAUCAUAGAAAAUCUACAGAGACCGACGAUUUUUCCUUCCCGUCACCUCUUCUCCACCUCCCUCCUGCUCCUCCUCCUUCAACCCGGGUCAGAGAUAACCCACCAUGUCCCAUCAGCGCGACGGACUGUCCAACUGUAAGCUGGCCCUGGUGUUCGCGGUGCUGAUGGACCUGUCCGGGGUCGUCGCUCUCUUACUGGGUGUGUUUGCCCCGUUAGAGAUCAGGGGCCAGGACUUUGGGGAUCUGCUAGUGUACUCUGGGGCCCUGCUGGUACUGAUGUCAAUGGGGGGAUGGGUCAUCUGGUACAGUGGGAACAUCGAGGGCCUGACCUCCAAGACUGAGUCGAGUGGAGGCAUGGGGGGAGCCAUGGACAGAUUUGCCCGCAGAGUGAGCCGCAAGAUACGGAUACCCAGGUCACACACUGUGGCCUGAAAACUGGAGCCCCCAGAAUGUGGGGGGGGGUCUGUCUAGGUUUGGAGUGAUGACAGUUAGGUUUAUAAACGACUUGUAUAGUGUGUUGCUGUAAUUGUAAAUGAAGACAUUUGUACCACUUUCACGUGAACUGAUUUUAAUGAAAAUGAUAUUUACAAAAGUAAAAUCUUGGUGAUAUGCUUUCGUUAGAUUGUCUUUGCAUAGAGGUUGGAUGUAGCUCUUAAAGGAACAGUCUAGUGACACUUCCUUACAUGACACACCACACAAGCACCAUUAUGACCUUGUCAUAAUAUACCUUCCCUUAUAUAACAAACUACUACUACUUAAAA